AGAAUCAACGCUGGCGGCGUGCCUAACACAUGCAAGUCGCACGAGAAAGGGACUUCGGUCCUGAGUAAAGUGGCGCACGGGUGAGUAACACGUGAAUCAUCUACCUUCGAGUGGGGAAUAACUGAGAGAAAUCUUAGCUAAUACCGCAUAAUACCCACGGGUCAAAGCAGCAAUGCGCUUGAAGAGGAGUUCGCGGCAGAUUAGUUAGUUGGCGGGGUAAUGGCCCACCAAGACGAUGAUCUGUAUCCGGCCUGAGAGGGCGCACGGACACACUGGAACUGAAACACGGUCCAGACUCCUACGGGAGGCAGCAGUGGGGAAUUUUGCGCAAUGGGGGAAACCCUGACGCAGCAACGCCGCGUGGAGGAUGAAAUCCCUUGGGAUGUAAACUCCUUUCGAUAGGGAAGAUAAUGACGGUACCUAUAGAAGAAGCCCGGCUAACUUCGUGCCAGCAGCCGC
rnacentral:rRNA from 1 species